rnacentral:rRNA from 1 species
CCUACGGGUGGCAGCAGUAGGGAAUCUUCCGCAAUGGACGAAAGUCUGACGGAGCAACGCCGCGUGAGCGAAGAAGGCCUUCGGGUCGUAAAGCUCUGUUGUCAGGGAAGAACAAGUACCGGAGUAACUGCCGGUACCUUGACGGUACCUGACGAGAAAGCCACGGCUAACUACGUGCCAGCAGCCGCGGUAAUACGUAGGUGGCAAGCGUUGUCCGGAAUUAUUGGGCGUAAAGCGCGCGCAGGCGGUCCUUUAAGUCUGAUGUGAAAUCUUGCGGCUCAACCGCAAGCGGCCAUUGGAAACUGGGGGACUUGAGUGCAGGAGAGGGAAGUGGAAUUCCACGUGUAGCGGUGAAAUGCGUAGAGAUGUGGAGGAACACCAGUGGCGAAGGCGGCUUCCUGGCCUGUAACUGACGCUGAGGCGCGAAAGCGUGGGGAGCAAACAGGAUUAGAUACCCGUGUAGUC